rnacentral:misc_RNA from 1 species
GAUGAAGAACGCAGUGAAAUGCGAUAAGUAAUGUGAAUUGCAGAAUUCAGUGAAUCAUCGAGUCUUUGAACGCACAUUGCGCCCCCUGGUAUUCCGGGGGGCAUGCCUGUCCGAGCGUCAUUGCUGCCCUCAAGCCCGGCUUGUGUGUUGGGUCUCGUCCCCCUUCCCGGGGGGACGGGCCCGAAAGGCAGCGGCGGCACCGCGUCCGGUCCUCGAGCGUAUGGGGCUUUGUCACCCGCUCUGUAGGCCCGGCCGGCGCUUGCCGAUCAACCAAAACUUUUUUCCAGGUUGACCUCGGAUCAGGUAGGGAUACCCGCUGAACUUAAGCAUAUCAAUAAGCGGAGGA